rnacentral:rRNA from 1 species
GACGAACGCUGGCGGCGUGCUUAACACAUGCAAGUCGAACGGAAAGGCCCUUCGGGGUGCUCGAGUGGCGAACGGGUGAGUAACACGUGGGUGAUCUGCCCUGCACUUCGGGAUAAGCCUGGGAAACUGGGUCUAAUACCGGAUAGGACCACGGCCUGCAUGGGUUGUGGUGGAAAGCUUUUGCGGUGUGGGAUGGGCCCGCGGCCUAUCAGCUUGUUGGUGGGGUGAUGGCCUACCAAGGCGUCGACGGGUAGCCGGCCUGAGAGGGUGUCCGGCCACACUGGGACUGAGGUACGGCCCAGACUCCUACGGGAGGCAGCAGUGGGGAAUAUUGCACAAUGGGCGCAAGCCUGAUGCAGCGACGCCGCGUGGGGGAUGACGGCCUUCGGGUUGUAAACCUCUUUCAGCACAGACGAAGCGCAAGUGACGGUAUGUGCAGAAGAAGCACCGGCCAACUACGUGCCAGCAGCCGCCGUAA